AGGGUUAAACCCUUCCGCCUACGUAAGCGUUAUUACGCCC
rfam:Pea early browning virus complete RNA2 genome encoding a coat protein and two unidentified reading frames